rnacentral:rRNA from 1 species
UUACCGUACCGCGACGAGACACUUAGAUUCUCUGAUGUUAGCGGCGGACGGGUGAGUAACACGUGGAUAACCUACCUAUAAGACUGGGAUAACUUCGGGAAACCGGAGCUAAUACCGGAUAAUAUUUUGAACCGCAUGGUUCAAAAGUGAAAGACGGUCUUGCUGUCACUUAUAGAUGGAUCCGCGCUGCAUUAGCUAGUUGGUAAGGUAACGGCUUACCAAGGCAACGAUGCAUAGCCGACCUGAGAGGGUGAUCGGCCACACUGGAACUGAGACACGGUCCAGACUCCUACGGGAGGCAGCAGUAGGGAAUCUUCCGCAAUGGGCGAAAGCCUGACGGAGCAACGCCGCGUGAGUGAUGAAGGUCUUCGGAUCGUAAAACUCUGUUAUUAGGGAAGAACAUAUGUGUAAGUAACUGUGCACAUCUUGACGGUACCUAAUCAGAAAGCCACGGCUAACUACGUGCCAGCAGCCGCGGUAAUACGUAGGUGGCAAGCGUUAUCCGGAAUUAUUGGGCGUAAAGCGCGCGUAGGCGGUUUUUUAAGUCUGAUGUGAAAGCCCACGGCUCAACCGUGGAGGGUCAUUGGAAACUGGAAAACU